rnacentral:rRNA from 1 species
GACAGCAUCAUUGUCACCUUUUAGCAUGAUCCCCUCAGAUCUCAGAAGCUAAGCAAGGGUGAACUGAAGGAGUAUGAGGAUGGAAGUCCUCCAAUGAAAAUCAGGUUGCUGCUGAAA